rnacentral:tRNA from 1 species
GUGGGUAUAGCUCUAAUGGAAGAGUACAUGUUUAGUAUGCAGGAGGUCCUGUGUUCAAUCCCCAGUACCUCCA